AUUGAACGCUGGCGGCAGGCCUAACACAUGCAAGUCGAGCGAGAGGCGGACGGGUGAGUAAUGUAUGGGGACUGCCCGAUAGAGGGGGAUAACUACUGGAAACGGUAGCUAAUACCGCAUACUAUAGGAUAACCCAUAUGGGAUUAGCUAGUAGGGGAGGGAAUGGCGCACCUAGGCGACGAUCCCUAGCUGGUCUGAGAGGAUGAUCAGCCACACUGGGACUGAGACACGGCCCAGACUCCUACGGAGGCAGCAGUGGGGAAUACUGCACAAUGGGCGCAAGCCUGAUGCACCCAUGCCGCGUGUAUGAAGAAGGCCCUAGGGUUGUAAAGUACUUUCAGUCGUGAGGCGUUACCGACAGAAGAAGCACUGGCUAACUCCGUGCCAGCAGCCGCGGUAAUUC
rnacentral:rRNA from 1 species